rnacentral:lncRNA from 1 species
GCUUAUAUAAUUCCAAAUGAAAGGGAAAGCUUUAAUUUCAGGAUUUACUGUUUCACACCUUUCAAUUUUGGAUAAAUUAAAUGACUAGACACUUGAAUUCAUUUCAAAACUUUAUUAUAAAUCUUCUUUUUGGUUGAGCAAUUCACUUUACAAAUACUCAAUAUUUUGUCAUCAUAAAAAAGGGAGAGAUUGUGGAGUGAUUGAUUAUAACCCUAUUUGAUUUUGAUGAGCUCAAAGCAUUUGAGUAUAU